rnacentral:rRNA from 1 species
GAACCUACGAGUUGCGUCCCGCCAGCGAGCAUAAGCCCCUAGGGGGCGCAUGCGCAGCGAAAGCGAGUCUUAACAGGGCGCCGAGUUGGCGGGAGCAGACGCGAAACCGAGUGAUCUACCCAUGGGCAGGCUGAAGUCCCGAUAGUCUCGGGAUGGAGGGCCGAACCGGUUGAUGUUGAAAAAUCUUCGGAUGACCUGUGGGUAGGGGUGAAAGGCUAAUCAAACUCGGAGAUAGCUCGUACUCCCCGAAAUGUAUUUAGGUACAGCGUCGCGGAGUGUGCGCAGGAGGUAGAGCUACCGAUAGGGCUAGGGGCCGUCACCGCCUACCAACCCCUGACGAACUCCGAAUGCCUGCACACAGCAGCGGCAGUGAGGCCCUGGGUGAGAAGGUCCAGGGCCGAGAGGGGAACAACCCAGACCACCGGCCAAGGCCCCCAAGUGCGGGCUAAGUUGAAAAACGAGGUGGGGAUGCACUGACAGCUAGGAUGUUGGCUUGGAAGCAGCCAUUCAUUCAAAGAGUGCGUAACA